AUGGAAGCAACUGCACUUGCAACUAGCAAUGCUAACACAUAGUUAAGCAAGCGGUAACAUAGCCAAUCAGUGGUUGCUAGGUUGUGAACAUGUUGAAGGUUUUCAUGGCAAUGUUGAGAGGCUGAUAUUUAAUAUGUGGUAGGCAGCGAGACAUAGCGAUAGAAACGAUAAAACUAGCAUGAAAAUGAUAGUAAUGGUAUCUAGGGAAAUGGUCAUCUUGCAGGAGAUCCCGCUUGGAAGAAGAAUGACUCCGUGAAUCAGACGAACCGGCGCAGUCGAACGGGUCCUCACAUUCCGACAUGCUUGCAGAACUCUAUCGAGACGAAGCAAACCGGAAACAAGAAUCAACACACGGUAUUCACCAUGACACAUGCAUGACAUGAUGCACAACACAUAUGAUGCAUGAAC
rnacentral:lncRNA from 1 species